UACAGAGGGUGCGAGCGUUUGUCCGGAAUCACUGGGCGUAAAGGGCGCGUAGGUGGCGCGACAAGUCAGUGGUGAAAGUUCGACGCUCAACGUCGAAUCGGCCACUGAUACUGUUGGGCUUGAGCACUGUAGAGGCUAAUGGAAUUCCGGGUGUAGCGGUGGAAUGCGCAGAUAUCAGGAGGAACACCGAUGGCGAAGGCAGGUCUCUGGGCCACUACUGACGCUGAGAAGCGAAAAGCAUGGGGGAGCGAACAGG
rnacentral:rRNA from 1 species